rnacentral:rRNA from 1 species
AUUGAACGCUGGCGGCAUGCCUAACACAUGCAAGUCGAGCGGAGCGGCGGACGGGUGAGUAAUGCCUAGGAAUCUGCCUGGUAGUGGGGGACAACGUCCGGAAACGGGCCCUAAUACCGCAUACUAUCAGAUGAGCCUAGGUCGGAUUAGCUUGUAGGUGAGGUAACGGCUCACCUAGGCGACGAUCCCUAGCUGGUCUGAGAGGAUGAUCAGCCACACUGGGACUGAGACACGGCCCAGACUACUACGGGAGGCAGCAGUGGGGAAUAUUGCGCAAUGGGCGCAAGCCUGAUGCAGCAAUGCCGCGUGUAUGAAGAAGGCCUUCGGGUUGUAAAUUACUGUCAGUCGGGAGGCGUUACCGACAGAAGAAGCACCGGCUAACUCCGUGCCAGCAGCCGCGGUAAUAC